CCUACGGGUGGCAGCAGUGAGGAAUAUUGGUCAAUGGACGGAAGCCUGAACCAGCCAAGCCGCGUGAAGGACGACGGUACAACGAGUCGUAAACCUCUUUUGUACGAGGACAAAGGCGGGGACUAGUACCGGGAUGAAGGUACCUGAAGAAAAAGCAUCGGCGAACUCCGUGCCAGUAGCCGCGGUAAUACGGAGUAUCCGAGUGUUAUCCGGAUUUAUUGGGUUUAAAGGGUGCGCAGGGGGCUUGUUAAGUCCGGGGUAAAAGCCCGGGGCCAAACCCCGACAUGCCGUUAAUACUGGUGGGCUGGAGUUUGAGAGAGGUACGCGGAAUGUGUGGUGUAGCGGUGAAAUGCUUAGAGAUCGUACAGAACCCCGAUUGCGAAGGCAGCUUACC
rnacentral:rRNA from 1 species